UUUGGAUCUGCUUGAGAUGGAGCAAUGUAGGACAAGGGAAUGGCUGAGAAAGGUGAACAGAGAGAGAGAGCAGGCCUGAUAGUGUGGCAUGGUAAAAAACCACCAAUAAACACCUAUGGAAAUUCAAAUCCCUAAGGAGGGAUUUAGCCUAAUAAGGAAAAAAAUAAAUUGCAAAUAGAAUGGUAAAUUUUACCAAGAACAAGAAGCAACAAUGGGAGUGGCCAAACCCUAGUAGCAACUUCAAAAAAAAAAAAACACGCACUUGUUUAAGAAAGGAAGAAGAAAAUAGAAACAUCCUAAUGAGAUCCUUGUAUAACUAUCUAGGACCCAUAGUCAUAGGUCUCCUAGUUUAUGGAUUGCAAAUCUUAAUAGACCUAAACUAAGCUGUUCUCAAGAUAAUUGACCCUAAGGAGUUUGAAAAUAAUAAAAAUCAACUAGAUGGGGUAUUUUGCUUGCAUACCAAAUCGUUGAGCAAGAAGGAAAAAUUUUGAUGACAUAAACACCAACUUCCCAAAAUCUACCAACACUUAAAUUCUAGAAGCUAACAGAAAACACCACUAAGGUCAUUAAAUUAUUUUGGGUAGAAAGUAAACACAAAAAGAAGGCUGAGGUUACUAAGAUAAGGAAUUGCCAUUGCAUGUGGUGGAGUCAAAUGACCCAUUUUGGAAAGGAAUAGAGUAACUCUAUUUAGAUCCCUAUUAGUGCCCAUAAUAAACAUUUACCAACCUUUUGUAGGAAACAAACAUUCCAUGUCAAAAUAAAGAAACCAUAGUAUCAGAUCAUGCUCUUAAGUACCAGGAUAAAGUGUGCCCUAGAUAUAACUCCUAGUCGGAUCCUGACCUGGUUACGGAGAGUCUUUUCAACAGGAAAAAAAAAUCCAAACAACUAAACAUCCAAAGGAACGAGUGUACCUGGUAAGAAAUGUUUCCUAAAAUAUCUUGUUCCUUCUAAACUUCACUUUCUAAAGAAAGAUAACCUCUUGAAGACAUGUUCCGUAAUAUAAUAAAAAAAAGCUUAAUGUGUUUCCCAGGAUAUGGUUCCAUUAAUUCUAAGUGGAAUAUCAAGUUAUACAAAAUACAAAUGUACCUAGAUAGAGCUCUAAAGUAAAUAUUAUCAUAAUAGCACAGCGGAAUUAAGGCAAGCCAUAAUUUAUAACAUAUAAUUGAUAUCUUAGAGCCAUGUCUAAGGCUACUAUCUUGUGCCUUUGAGAACCAAAGGUGUAACACCCAUACUUGAAAAGAAUGAAACAACUAAAAUAAAGUCAAUCAUGAUAAGAUUACUAAGUGAUUCCUCCAUCAAACACUCCUAAUAAUUUUCAGCUACAACACUUAUGGAUGUCAUACUUUCCUGCUUAAAGGAUGCUAAGAAAAGCUAAUCAAGUGCUAAGAGAUUUUGGAAAACCCUGCAAACUUGAUGGAAUUUAGAAGAACAUUAUGACUCAACCAAAAGUAGAUUGCUUAGACAUCAAGUCCCUUGGGUAAGUGAAAAGAAGUUUGGCUACCAAAACAAUACUUUCAAAUUUCCAAAGUGAUAUCCAGGAUUCAGAAAACCUUACUAUUAGUGGAUUGUUAUAUAUGAGAAUGAAACAUAUAUGGCUAUUUAGAGAUCAUGAAAAAUAACUGUAUGUUUUGGUAAUAAUUCAAGAUUAUAUGGACUAGAGAUCGUGGAAAAUAAUUUCUAAGAUAUUCACAUAUUAAUUUUUGAAAGUCAGAAUAUAGGCAAUUUUUAUGGGGCAUAUGCACGUUGGAAAAGACAUUAACAUAACAUAGCAUUGAGGUCACUUAUGUAACUAAGAACUUAAUCUUGUGGUGAGAAGCUAUUACUAAGAGACUUGUCAUGAUGAGAAUCAAACAAAGAUAUGAUGCUCGCAGACAGUGUUUGAUAGUGAUGAUAAUGGCAUAGAUUAUUGUUGGGAGAUAAUAGGCUCUAAUGAGUUUUGAGGAUCAAUAUAAUCCAAAAUAAUAGUCCUACGUGAAGAUGAAGUAUUAUUAGGAGAGAAAUAGUGAAGUACCAUCAAAUCCCCUUAGGUCUUAAAAUCACUAAGAUCGGAAGUUAAUUCUAGAUAAAUGUACCUUUACUUUUGGGAGGUAGGAAAGAGAUAUCACAAUCUAAAGUGAUUUCACUAGAAAAAGUGCCAUGACAACACUACUUCAUAAAAGAAAUCAUGUGGGAAUCGGAAGAGAAAAUGGGGAACAAAUAUCUUCAUUUUCUAUAAUUACUUGAUGGGUUCAAAUUUAGAGGACCAAAUUUUUAAAGGGAAGAAGAUUGUAACAUCCUGUAAAUUUAACAUUUAAAUUUUUGGGUGUUUUAUAAGAGUUUUUAGAUAAUUUAGGGGGCUGCUGCAAAUUUAAAAGGGCCUAGGGACUUAAAUGAAAGAAAAUUUCAAAUCAAGAAAUUAAUCCCUAAAUCCAAAACUAUCCCACUAAAUUAUAAAUAAACUUACAUAUGAUGAAUUGAAAAUAGAAGAGGGAGAAUGGAACGGCGAGAAGGAGGGAAAGGGAGAGAGGGUUAAUCAAGCAAGAUGAGAGAGACAAAAAGAGAGAGAGAGAGAAGGGGAAGAAAAUUGAGGAAAUAAGGAGUUCGAUUGAAAAGAGGGUGAUAAAUCGAUUCAUGAGGGAUUAAGAGAGAGGAAACUGCAUCAGUAUACAAC
rnacentral:lncRNA from 1 species